AUGAGGCGAACCGGGGGAACUGAAACAUCUAAGUACCCCGAGGAAAAGAAAUCAACCGAGAUUCCCCCAGUAGCGGCGAGCGAACGGGGAGCAGCCCAGAGCCUGAAUCAGUGUGUGUGUUAGUGGAAGCGUCUGGAAAGGCGCGCGAUACAGGGUGACAGCCCCGUACACAAAAAUGCACAUGCUGUGAGCUCGAUGAGUAGGGCGGGACACGUGGUAUCCUGUCUGAAUAUGGGGGGACCAUCCUCCAAGGCUAAAUACUCCUGACUGACCGAUAGUGAACCAGUACCGUGAGGGAAAGGCGAAAAGAACCCCGGCGAGGGGAGUGAAAAAGAACCUGAAACCGUGUACGUACAAGCAGUGGGAGCACGCUUAGGCGUGUGACUGCGUACCUUUUGUAUAAUGGGUCAGCGACUUAUAUUCUGUAGCAAGGUUAACCGAAUAGGGGAGCCGAAGGGAAACCGAGUCUUAACUGGGCGUUAAGUUGCAGGGUAUAGACCCGAAACCCGGUGAUCUAGCCAUGGGCAGGUUGAAGGUUGGGUAACACUAACUGGAGGACCGAACCGACUAAUGUUGAAAAAUUAGCGGAUGACUUGUGGCUGGGGGUGAAAGGCCAAUCAAACCGGGAGAUAGCUGGUUCUCCCCGAAAGCUAUUUAGGUAGCGCCUCGUGAAUUCAUCUCCGGGGGUAGAGCACUGUUUCGGCAAGGGGGUCAUCCCGACUUACCAACCCGAUGCAAACUGCGAAUACCGGAGAAUGUUAUCACGGGAGACACACGGCGGGUGCUAACGUCCGUCGUGAAGAGGGAAACAACCCAGACCGCCAGCUAAGGUCCCAAAGUCAUGGUUAAGUGGGAAACGAUGUGGGAAGGCCCAGACAGCCAGGAUGUUGGCUUAGAAGCAGCCAUCAUUUAAAGAAAGCGUAAUAGCUCACUGGUCGAGUCGGCCUGCGCGGAAGAUGUAACGGGGCUAAACCAUGCACCGAAGCUGCGGCAGCGACGCUUAUGCGUUGUUGGGUAGGGGAGCGUUCUGUAAGCCUGUGAAGGUGUGCUGUGAGGCAUGCUGGAGGUAUCAGAAGUGCGAAUGCUGACAUAAGUAACGAUAAAGCGGGUGAAAAGCCCGCUCGCCGGAAGACCAAGGGUUCCUGUCCAACGUUAAUCGGGGCAGGGUGAGUCGACCCCUAAGGCGAGGCCGAAAGGCGUAGUCGAUGGGAAACAGGUUAAUAUUCCUGUACUUGGUGUUACUGCGAAGGGGGGACGGAGAAGGCUAUGUUGGCCGGGCGACGGUUGUCCCGGUUUAAGCGUGUAGGCUGGUUUUCCAGGCAAAUCCGGAAAAUCAAGGCUGAGGCGUGAUGACGAGGCACUACGGUGCUGAAGCAACAAAUGCCCUGCUUCCAGGAAAAGCCUCUAAGCAUCAGGUAACAUCAAAUCGUACCCCAAACCGACACAGGUGGUCAGGUAGAGAAUACCAAGGCGCUUGAGAGAACUCGGGUGAAGGAACUAGGCAAAAUGGUGCCGUAACUUCGGGAGAAGGCACGCUGAUAUGUAGGUGAAGUCCCUCGCGGAUGGAGCUGAAAUCAGUCGAAGAUACCAGCUGGCUGCAACUGUUUAUUAAAAACACAGCACUGUGCAAACACGAAAGUGGACGUAUACGGUGUGACGCCUGCCCGGUGCCGGAAGGUUAAUUGAUGGGGUCAGCGCAAGCGAAGCUCUUGAUCGAAGCCCCGGUAAACGGCGGCCGUAACUAUAACGGUCCUAAGGUAGCGAAAUUCCUUGUCGGGUAAGUUCCGACCUGCACGAAUGGCGUAAUGAUGGCCAGGCUGUCUCCACCCGAGACUCAGUGAAAUUGAACUCGCUGUGAAGAUGCAGUGUACCCGCGGCAAGACGGAAAGACCCCGUGAACCUUUACUAUAGCUUGACACUGAACAUUGAGCCUUGAUGUGUAGGAUAGGUGGGAGGCUUAGAAGUGUGGACGCCAGUCUGCAUGGAGCCGACCUUGAAAUACCACCCUUUAAUGUUUGAUGUUCUAACGUUGACCCGUAAUCCGGGUUGCGGACAGUGUCUGGUGGGUAGUUUGACUGGGGCGGUCUCCUCCUAAAGAGUAACGGAGGAGCACGAAGGUUGGCUAAUCCUGGUCGGACAUCAGGAGGUUAGUGCAAUGGCAUAAGCCAGCUUGACUGCGAGCGUGACGGCGCGAGCAGGUGCGAAAGCAGGUCAUAGUGAUCCGGUGGUUCUGAAUGGAAGGGCCAUCGCUCAACGGAUAAAAGGUACUCCGGGGAUAACAGGCUGAUACCGCCCAAGAGUUCAUAUCGACGGCGGUGUUUGGCACCUCGAUGUCGGCUCAUCACAUCCUGGGGCUGAAGUAGGUCCCAAGGGUAUGGCUGUUCGCCAUUUAAAGUGGUACGCGAGCUGGGUUUAGAACGUCGUGAGACAGUUCGGUCCCUAUCUGCCGUGGGCGCUGGAGAACUGAGGGGGGCUGCUCCUAGUACGAGAGGACCGGAGUGGACGCAUCACUGGUGUUCGGGUUGUCAUGCCAAUGGCACUGCCCGGUAGC
rnacentral:rRNA from 1 species